AAUUGUUUCUAAGUAACUUUGUUUUUGAAGUUGAUUCAACAUCUCUUUUAAAAUAAUGGCGUCUUUGAAGUUUCUCUUCUGCAUAUCUUUUUUAGUCAUGGCCAACAUUUAUAUUGAAGGAGCUACUGCUCGAUUAUCAACUACCAUUGUCACUAAUAGCAAAGCGGUAGCUUGUCCUGGGAUUUUACAGUGCCCACAUGGAUGCUGCGAGUGCUUCAACUUCGAAUGCAAGAAAUGCUGCGCCGAGAAAGAGAGAGAGACCAUAAUCGUCGACACCAAACCUUGAGGAUUUUAGUUUCAGGAGCAUGCAUGGCAUUGAUGCAUGCAAAUGCUUUUUAAUGUUUAUUUUGAUGGGAAAUUGCUUCAUUCAAUUGUUUGCUCUUCUGCUUAAUUGCAUGCAUCUUUGUCUCGAAUUAUUAGAAUAACAGAAAUAAAUGAAGCCCUCUUCAUCAUA